AGCUUAAAGUGUGGAAGCCCUCGCGGAAGGAGCCGGACAGCAGCAGCGUGGCCGAGGGCCGCAGGGCGUUCGAGUCCAGGCGCAGGGUCAACGUGGCCAGCAAGCAGAUCAACCCCGCGCGCUGGGCGGACAUCCUGGCCAGGGUGCGGGGCGGGAAGGCUCUCCCCAAGGCCAGCGAGGCGCCCCGGGAAGCCACCACCACUGCGCCUCAAGCCAGGAGUCCGGAGGGGCGGCCCCCGUCCCCCGCAAUGGCUCCCCCACCCGGGUCCCCCACCCAGGGAGCCCCGGAUCUGGAGGAGGCAUCCGCACAGGCGCCUCUCUUCGUGGAGGAAGAACAAGGCUCCAGCACCAGCUCCUCCCCGGGGAUGGAGCACGAAGGUGGCCACGGAGAAGGCGGCCACGGAGAAGGCGGCCACGGAGGAGGCGGCCACGGAGGAGGCGGCCACGGAGGAGGCGGCCACGGAGGAGGCGCCGCUCUCCCCGAGCCCCAAGUGUCCGGCCCCCCUCUGCAUGAGGAAGGCCCUGGUGGGUACUUUCUGGAGAAGCCCGAGGCUCCGUCUCCAGCCGGCUCUGAGCUGGACUGGGAGCUGACCGCCGUCCCCGGGCCGGAUGCCCCUCGGGCAGUGAGUCUGUGGACCCCAGAGGACACCACGGAUGACCAGACGGCCACAAGUGCUCGGCCUGCACCGGUAGAACCCGUGACACGACCCAGGAGGAAGCAGGAAAAGCCCCCGUUGGGUGCCAGCCCCUCCGCUGAGCCCCAGACUGUGAAGCACGCCCACCCAGAUGGACAGAAUAACACACUCCUGGACGUGCAGACGGCUCCCGAAACCGAGCUGCCCACGGCGAGCUCGGGGGUCUCCAGUGUGCCCAAGUCGUUUGGAAAUUCCUCUUUAGGGAAGCAAGAGAUGUCAGCCUGGUCACACGGACAAGGAAGACCAGGCGGUGCCCUGCCGCUGGGAAAUAGUGUGGCCACUGCACGGGCUCCAGCUAGGAAGAAAGGCCUGGAAGACGGGGUUUUGGGGGAGACGCCCACGUCCAGAUCCCCUGAGGGCGCAGGGGAAGACGUCACACCUGAAGCCCCAUUCACACAGGCCGGGGAGGUCGCCCCUGGGGAGGAACCGGGCAGAGGCGUCACCCCAGGAGCAGAGGCCACAGCAAGCCACGCGGCCACUCGGCCGCCCACACUGUCGCCCCCGUCCACCCGAAGGAGACCCGGGGGCAGGAGGCGGCCGCGCCCCCACAAAUCUCGGCACCGCCAGAAACAAAUCCCCCCGACACCCUCUGCCCUGUCAGGGGCGCCUCCAACCCCACCUUCUGCAGAAACGGGGAUCCCGAAGCCUGCGCAGAGCUCCCCGGCUCCCACCUCUUGGGGAGACACCACGGUCCCUGUCCCUGAGCGGCCGGACGCAGAGAAACACGCGGAAUCCGCAUCCAGGGGGACCGCACGGAGGAGAAACGGGAAAAGGCCCCACAGACACCGAGCUGGCGCCGCCACCCCGACCUCAAAGAGCUCCGUGCCCCAGCCCGGUGCUCCCCCCGAAAGUCAGCCCGAGCCAGCCCUCACUGCCGGGGCACAAACUGCACCCCCACCUGCAGAAACGGGAGCCCCAGGCGGGGUGACCAGACUGGAAGAUGAUGUCACAGCUGCCCCCCAGGCCCCAGGGCCUCAUCGUACAGUCCAGGAGACGGUUCUGGGCACGCAGCAGCCCGAAGCAGAUCCAGAGGGAACCACGGAUCCACAAGGAGCCACGGGUCUACAAGGAGCCACGGGUCCACACGGAGCCAUAAGUCCACAAGGAACCAUGGGUCCACAAGGAGCCACGGGUCCACAAGGAGCCAUAAAUCCACAAGGAGCCACGAAUCCACAAGAAACCACGAGUCCACAAGGAGCCACGAGUCCACAAGGAACCACGAGUACACAAGGAGCCACGAGUCCACAAGGAGCCACGAAUCCACAAGGAGCCAUGAAUCCACAAGGAGCCACGAGUCCACAAGGAGCCAGGAAUCCACAAGGAACGACGAGUCCACAAGGAGCCACGGGUCCACAAGGAGCCACGGAUCGUGGGAUCGCCCACGCAAGCGGUCUUGGAGACGGCGCGGGGCUCUCUGGCCAGCUGGAUGCUGAUGAGCCAUCAACGGCUCGCCCCUCGGUGUCCAGCGCAGGGCAGCCCAAGGCCGAGGCCCGUCCUGCAGGCGAUCCUGGGAAUCCAGGCUGGCAUCACCCCAGGACAGCCCAGCCAGGGCCACCAGCCACCAGGGCUCCUGGCGUCCACUUAGAGGAGGACAUCACAGACCUUUUGCUCUUCAGAGAGCUGGAGGCCAGAGAGGCCACCUCUCCGCCAUCACCCGCUGUCACCAGCGUGGAGUCAGGGCCACGGGGAGAUGUCUGGCCCCCCGACGCCUCCCCCAGCGCAGGGCUGGAGCCAUCUUUAGGGCAGUCGAGAGGCGCCACCGGGGCCCCGGAUGGCGGGCAAAGCACGGUGGUGGUGCCCGUCCUUGCUGAAACCACACCGGAGAGUCCCAUGCCCACCGUGGCCCGGGGGGAGGACCCGGCCACCUCCUCCCUCCCCAGAGCUCCUCGGACCUCAGCAGUGACCCCCACGAAGCUGUGGCCAGCCUCUGCCGGCGCAUUGCCCGGGUGGCCCGAGCCCACGGGAAAGGUUUUCUCCAGCUGGGCGGGAAACCCAGAGACCACGGCACCCACAGAGGACAGAGACCCGCUUGUGCAGCAGUGGACACCCGAGGAGCUGUCCACUCUGGCUCCCCGCCGGGACGGAUGGAACGUUUCUGCCAAGCCCGGGUUGGUGGACGGCAGGACGGGGAACAGCUUACCGCGUGGUCCGGACGGCCACCUCCAUCGUGGGGAGGUCCAGCCGGCGGGGUACCCCGCAGAGCCCACCCCGCCGAGGGGAUCCGAGAGGCCGCCUCUCCGAACCUCACAAGGCCCCGUGAGACACUUUGUGACUUUCCAGCCACCGCGCGGCUUCACCCAGAAACCGGAGACGACCACGCGUCCCUCCAGGGUCUGGCUGCAGGGCAAACAGCUCACGACCCCCCGGGCCCCCAGCACCUCGACUCCCGGCGCACAGACCCCGGGCACACCCCGCGUCCCCAGCAGGCUGCCCGACCAAAGAUCGAACCCAGUCAGCGGCUACUCCAGAGCCCUGGGGAACAACAUCCCGGAGCAGGGGAGCCCCGUCCGGGAGCCUCCAAAGCCCAGCCCUCCUUACGCCCCCCGGUUCCCGUUCCCCACCAGCCGGACCUUCGCUUUCCCGCCGUCCAGAGUCACCCCAAAGCCCCCCUCGGCCACCUCCCCAGCCCCAGGAGCCAGACAAAGAAAGCCCGUCUCUGGCCCCUACAGCAGGUUCCCGCCCCAGGGCUUCCCGUAUGUGGAUCUGGGGCCCCCGGCACCCCCAAUACCUCACUUUGCCCGGACUGCCACCCCCUUUCACAACGGCCCCCUGGCGUACCCCACCCGGAGCUCCAGCCCCUUCCUGACGCCCCCCGGCCAGUCCCCCGGGGGUUCCCGUGACGUCAGCACCAAGAUCUUCAUCCGAGGGCCUCCUGCCCCCCAGUUCUGGACGCCCGGAGAAAAACCCCAGAUUAUCAGCAAAUCCCCCCAGACGCUGUCCGUCACCGCGGAAUCGGACGUGAUGUUCCCGUGCGAGGCGACCGGCGAACCCCGGCCUUUCAUCACCUGGACCAAGGUCUCCACAGGUGAGACGCGCAAGCUGCUCUGUAACCAUGGUUACGGGAAGCUGCCUCUGUAACCAUGGUUAUGGGAAGCUGCCUCUGUAACCACGGUUACGGGAAGCUGC
rnacentral:lncRNA from 1 species